CAGACUGUUCCUGCAAUUGAAAAAAGCCUUGGACAGUUGAAGGACGGUACAGUGACUGAAGCACUUUGGCCCCAAGAUCUGAUGGUCUCAGUGCCGUGUGUGGACCAGUCCGAGGCACCCGUUGUGUAUGAGCAUGACACCUUUUCCUUCCACUCUCUAAUGGUGCUGAAGGAAUGAUCCAUUUGGAAUAUAUGCGGGCU